AGAGCCGGCCCUGACUGAAACCAUCAAUUUGUCUUUAGAACAGGUCCAGCAUGGGCAGCAGCAGGGCACCAGGUCUCAACCCUGACCUGGAGGACAACCUCUUCAGGUGACAGGGGAGUCCUGUUUCCAUGACCUAUUCCUCAGCUGAUUGC
rnacentral:sRNA from 1 species